rnacentral:rRNA from 1 species
CCCAGUUCGGAUUGUAGUCUGCAACCCGACUACAUGAAGCUGGAAUCGCUAGUAAUCGCGGAUCAGAAUGCCGCGGUGAAUACGUUCCCGGGUCUUGUACACACCGCCCGUCACACCAUGGGAGUCGGAAAUGCCCGAAGUCUGUGACCUAACCGUAAGGAAGGAGCAGCCGAAGGCAGGUCGGAUGACUGGGGUGAAGUCGUAACAAGGUACC